UCUUUUCUUUUCUUAUGUUUAUUUGUUUUGAGAGAGAGAGACAGAGUGUGAGCAGGUGAGGGGCAGAGAGAGAGGGAGACCCAGAAUCCCAAGCAGGCUCCAGGCUCCGAGCUGUCAGCACAGAGCCCGAUGUGGGGCUCAAACCCACGAACUGUGAGAUCAUGACCUGAGCUGAAGUCAGACACCUAACCGACUGAGCCACCCAGGCGCCUGAGCCUUCCCCAAAUUCUGAGUCUACUCCUCCUAUACAGUCCUUCCAGUUCUGAAGCCCUCAUCUGGGGCCACACAUUCCGUCCCCCUUUGCACAUUGUCUGUGCACCCUUCCCUUUGACAAAGCCUGGAGAAAUUAUUUUCUCAUGUCACAGAUGGAAGCCUUGCUCCUCUCUUCAUAUAUUCCAGAGUUACUGUGCCCACCUUGAGUAAUUUCUACCGAUCACAUUUUAGGAUUUUGAAUCUCAAAACCAUCUUUCUGCUGCCACAUCCUUUAUUCAAGGCACUCAAUGAACAGCCUAGUUUAAAGAGAACCAAAUGAUGACAGAGCUGGAAACAAAAUUAGCUAUUUCAAAAGCAUUCCACUUCAAUCUGUCUUUCCUCCUUCUCUCCCUCCAGUUCUUGAAACAUCCACAUAUUCCCAUGAUCAUAGUGCAAAGCAGAAAGUCUCCAGAGCCUUACGGCAGGCACAGAUGAAAUGCGGAUGCAGACGAAGGAGAGAACACUGUCAGCUUCUGAAGAAACCUUGAAGGAUUGGGAGUUGGACACGACCCAGGAAAGGGCACUCCUGGUGGAAAGAGCAGCCUGGAGCCAGGCAGGGAGCAGAGAAGCACACAUCCACAGCAACUAUAGCUAUAUGUGGCUGUGCUACGACUCCUUCGGUCACAGAAUGUUGUGUGUACCAUACUGCCUGUGCAGUCAUCGUCAGCCAAAAAACAUAGGAAAGACUACCAGUGAGAACCACCUUGCCAAGUUCACUCAACACGAGAAUCAUGAGAGAUGA
rnacentral:lncRNA from 1 species